rnacentral:rRNA from 1 species
CAGCCGCCGCGGGAAUACGAAGGGUGCAAGCGUUAAUCGGAAUUACUGGGCGUAAAGCGUGCGUAGGCGGUUUGUUAAGUCUGCUGUGAAAUCCCCGGGCUCAACCUGGGAAUGGCAGUGGAUACUGGCAAGCUAGAGUGUGUCAGAGGAUGGUGGAAUUCCCGGUGUAGCGGUGAAAUGCGUAGAGAUCGGGAGGAACAUCAGUGGCGAAGGCGGCCAUCUGGGACAACACUGACGCUGAGGCACGAAAGCGUGGGGAGCAAACAGGAUUAGAUACCCCCGUAGUCCCUGUCUCUUAUAU